CCCCUAGAUGUUCUGGGCCGCACGCGCGCUACACUGAACAGUUCAACAAGUCUUAACCUUGGCCGAUAGGUCUGGGUAAUCUUUGAACGCUGUUCGUGAUUGGGAUAGACCUUUGCAAUUAUGGGUCUUCAACGAGGAAUUGCUAGUAAACGCAAGUCAUCAGCUUGCAUUGAUUACGUCCCUGCCCUUUGUACACACCGCCCGUCGCACCUACCGAUUGAAUGGUCCGGUGAAAUCUCGGGACGGCGGCUUGGUCGCUUGCGUCCGACUGCUGAAACUUGAUUAAACCAUAUCAUUUAGAGGAAGGUGAAGUCGUAACA
rnacentral:rRNA from 1 species